AGUGAACGCUGGCGGCGUGCCUAAUACAUGCAAGUCGAACGGAGAGGCGCACGGGUGAGUAAUGUAUAGCUAAUCUGCCCUACACUAGAGGACAACAGUUGGGAACGACUGCUAAUACUCUAUAGUGUAGGAUGAGGCUAUAUUGUAUCAGCUAGUGGGUGAGGUAAUGGCUCCCCAAGGCUAUGACGCAUAACUGGUCUGAGAGGAUGAUCAGUCACACGGGAACGGAGACACGGUUGAGACUCCUACGGGAGGCAGCAGUAGGGAAUAGUGCUCAAUGGGGGAAACCCUGGAGCAGCAACGCCGCGUGGAGGAUGACAAUUUUCGGAGCGUACACUCAUGUUGUUAGGGAAGCGUUACCUAACGAAUAAGCACCGGCUAACUCCGUGCCAGCAGCCGCGGUAAUUC
rnacentral:rRNA from 1 species